rnacentral:lncRNA from 1 species
CUUCCUUCAUGAGGCUUGUAGUGCCUGACUUCCAGCUAUCAGCAUUACCUAAGAAUGUUGAAAGCAAUAGGGCACCUCCAACUUCCAGCCUUGCCUAGGCACGGACUGCCUGUUGCGUGUCCUGAGAAAUGCUGUGUCCUGCAGCUGGGAUCUUUCUCAUUUUCUCCCAGGUCCUGUGUGGGCAUGUUGUCCUCUGUUCACUGCACACCCCCAGUCUCCUUGUUAGUUUUGGUCUGAGUAACCCAAAGUGGGAGCUUGGCUGCUUCAGCCAGUAGAAAUACAUGUAAUUGAAGAGGCUAAAGCAGGGAGCACUGUUAUAAUUAGCUGGCCAUAUUAGGCAUUUUACAAUUCUGACACCUCACAAGAGUGGAAGUUUAAUGAGAAUGGAGAGAGGCUCAAAAGCAAUCCGUUUUCCUGGUAAAGAGUGUAAUGAAGGUGUGAAAUGAUGCACAGCUAACUAAACCUGCCUGUAAUAGCCUCUCUGUUAUAAUGUACUGAUCUGGCAGAACAGAAACAGGACAGUGUGUGUGUGUGUGUAUACUGUGUAUAUUCCUUUUCUUACAGUGGCCGAUGUAAUACAGCUUCACAUGCAGGUCAGGUGUGAAAUAUGUUAAGAGCUACUUAGGAUCCAAAGAGCUCAUGUACAGUGAGCAUGGCCCAAGGAAUGUGCUGCAGAACUGUGUCCUGCAGAGGAUGUUUGGGGGAUAUGUGGCUCAGAAACAGCCCAGGCUGGGCCAGCUCUGCUGUGGCACAAUGUGGAUCUGUGACCCACUUGCAGUCCCUGCAGAAAAUCACAGUGAAUUCCCUGCAGAUCUGCCAAGGUGGAGAAUUAGCAUAGAGGUGUUUUCUGACUAUUUGUUUGAGAAGAUGCUGCAUCUCAUAUUGUUAGUUUAAAAUUAAGUGGUAGCAGCUGUAAGCAGUGUACUUUGCAUGGUGAAGCCCUGUAACAUGUCACUGUGAUUGCAUCUCUUUGCCUUCAUUUGCUAGUAAAGCAUCAAAUUAAGAUGGGUGCAGAAGGAACUGGAAUGAGUGGGGUACCUAUAUAGCUUCUGAUGGCACAUGGGAGCGAGCAGCCAUCUGAGGGCCCCUUUGCACCCACAGUGCUUUGCUGUGCAGCAGGAGGUAUUGGAACAGGCUGCCCAGGGAAUGGUGGAGUCGCUGUCCCUGGAGGCAGUCAGGAACUGUGGAGACGUUGGACUUGGUGAUCUUAGAGGUACUUUCCAACCUCAGUGAUUCUAUGAUUCCGUUCUAGGAACCCACCUGCUGGUGGGAGCAGCAGCCUGCUGGGCAGGGGGAUGAGGGCCAGAGCUCUUGUAAACAUCAAGCGUGGAGGUGAAAUAUGAAAAUUGGGAUAAACGCAUGGUAAAUUGUGAUCAGGAUGUAAAUUCUUGAGCCAGUAAAUUGUAUCUCACACAAUUAGUUCUAUGCUGUUUCCUCUGCUUGUCACCACUUGCAUGAUAUGGCUGAGCUUCCACAUAGCUGCUUUUGGCAGAUGAUGGAGGUUUGUCAAGUGCAAUUGUGGAGCAUUGGCACUCCGGCCCUCCUGCAGGGAGCACUGCAUCCUGAUGGGUGGCUCCUCCCAGGAACACCCAAAUCCUAUAGGAAACAGGCUUCUUGUAAAGAUCUCCGUCACAUUAUUUAUUGUGAACAACACUUGUGUUUUCCUACUAUGUGUAUGCUCUAGAGGCUUGCCUUUGCAUGUGCUCAAAUUUGUUUUUGUUCAGUACAUCACAGGACUUGGAGCAAUGCAGUUUUGGCAAAAUAAGUGGGAAGACUGCGUAAACACUGCAUAAGCUUUCUUAUGUACUCCACGUCUUUUCCAAUAUAUUUAAGUGAUCCAGCUAUGCAGCUACAGCACAUCUAUUAAUACAAGUUAAUACAAAGAUGUAAUUGUUUCAUGGGCUCACUUAAGUUAUAUUUUUAUGAAGAGAACAAGAGGAUCCCCUGGGACACUGUUGUACAAAUAACGAAGGCAGGAGCUCAAUUAGUGAAAGAAGAGAAAGGAAAGGUGGGGAUAUAUGAAAGUAUGAGCCUCAACAGUUGACCAGAAAGUAAAGAAAAUCAAGAAGCGAGUCUACAGAAAUAAACCUAAUCCCUAUCCUUUUUCCUUAGAAGCCUACAGCGUGUUUCCAACAAGGUGAGACUGGAUAACAAAAUGCUGCACUCUGGCCCGUGCCUGCAGAGCUCUUUGGUAUUGUGACUUCUGAAGCCCUUGAUGCCUUUGCUAGAACAAAGCCCUGGUUUCCUUUCUGAUCUCCUGAGAGAGCCUAAGGGCUAGCAGGGCCGUUUGCGGUGCGUGCGAUACAGGCUCUGCACUGAGUUCAGAGACUUGAGAGGCUGAUUUCAUGCAGCUUCACAGGCUUUAAUCCUGAUCUCGUGGUAGUUCUCUCUCAGGGACUGCCGAGUGUCCAUAUUGGCCGGCGGUCCCACGAGGAAAGUGCAUCUCUGCAGAGUGCAAUGAAUAAUCCCCUGAAAAGUGGAGCCUAUGAAGAAAGGAAAUUAUUGGCAUGUGUGUCAUUUCCAUCAAAAGAGCUUCUCCAUCAGCUGGUUCAAAGUGGUUGUCGCUGUAACCUUCUUCUGUCAGUUACUGUUCCCAUGUAUUAUAUAGGGCUUAGUGGUGAAACUACUUCAGAGCGAGUGUGAAAAUACAUAUUUUGCAAAUUGACUCUUCACCAGCUUUGUAGGAAAACCAAGGAGGAUGCUGACAUAAGCAGAAGUGGGAUUUGUAAAGGACCUUUUCCAGGAUGGAGUCAGAGUGGUCAGUACCAGCUUGUGGCCUAGGGGAAGGCGUGAGGCUGUGGGAUUCAGAUGAAUUCAGCAGAGUUUCAUUGCAAUCUCAGCAUCCUGCUGCCACGGGGAAAGAAAAGGUAUUUUCAGAGCAAAGGUUAUCUUCAUAAAGUGUACGGAUGUGUCCCAUUGUGAAACAGUGGUUUGUUUCUCAGUUACCUUUAUGUUCUUGCAUGGAAUUGGAAAUUAUGCAAUUCCUUUGACCUCCUUAAUUGCAAUUAUAUUGCUAAAUAUGUCAAAGCUGGAGUUGCUUUUUUUUUUUCGUUUUCCUGUCACCAAAAACUGACAUUGCCCCUGCUGCAAAAGAUGCUGUGAGCCAGGGUUUCGAAUGGGCUUAUUUUGAUUAGAGUUGGUAAACAAUUCUAGCAUUUUUAUCAGUAUUUUGCCAACGUUGCCGUUGGGUUUGCAGGCACAAGAACACAGCCCUGUU